GUAUGCCUUGGUGGCAAAAGACCUAGGUGGUCAUUUAUAUAUACCUUGGUGGCAAUAGACCUAGGUGGUCAUUUUUAUAUGCCUUGGUGGCAAUAGACCUAGGUGGUCAUUUUUAUGAUUUUUUACAUUUGCCUUGAUGGCAACAAUGAAUUAAAAAUACUAGCCUUGGGGGCGUCAAGACCUUGGUGGUCAUUUAUAUUCGCCUUGGCGGCUUCUUGAUAGAACUAGAUGGUAAUGUUUGACCUUGGUGGCAAAAUGUUUUGGGAUUUAGACUUUAGGUAUUUGUUAUCAACCAGGUGGUCAGAUAUUUGUUAUGCCGUGCGCCGGUUAAACGCAGGGUAAAGUGCUAUCGCUAUAUAAAAUAUAUGUGGAAGUUGGGGC
rnacentral:lncRNA from 1 species